rnacentral:rRNA from 1 species
AUACGUAGGGGACGAGCGUUGUCCGGAAUUACUGGGCGUAAAGGGCGCGCAGGCGGAUAUUUAAGUCAGCUGUAAAAGGCAUGAGCUCAACUCAUGUAUGCGGUUGAAACUGGGUAUCUAGAGUGCUGGAGAGGUAGGCGGAAUUCCCGGUGUAGCGGUGAAAUGCGUAGAUAUCGGGAAGAACACCAGUGGCGAAGGCGGCUUACUGGCCAGCAACUGACGCUGAGGCGCGAAAGCCAGGGGAGCGAACGGGAUUUGAUACCCCGGUAGUCCUGGCCGUAAACGAUGAAUGCUAGGUGUGGGUGUCGAGAGGCAUCCGUGCCGGAGUUAACGCGAUAAGCAUUCCGCCUGGGGAGUACGAUCGCAAGAUUGAAACUCAAAGGAAUUGACGGGG